rnacentral:lncRNA from 1 species
AAAGUUGCAAACUGACGGCACCUACUGGCAACUAUCAAGACUGCAGAAGAUCUGGAGAGUUCUGACGGGGUGGGGGGCGGGAGGGCCCGGGGACAAGAUUCUGGGAUUCUCUCCCUGCUAUCUCACAGACAAACUGGGGUCUUUUCUGUCUUGGAUAAGGGCAAACAGAGCCAGGCUCUUUACGUCCCCGGGGGAAGCCCAGCCUGCACCUGAUUCAGAAAACUUCCCCUAGCUCUAUCCCCCUCCAUCAUCACUGAGGCACCAACGUAUUGUAUGAACUUGGACACCACCCCUUGGAGCUGGAAUUGUCCCUAACUAUAAAAUGGAGGUAUAUCAUCUCCACCUAUUCUGCCUCUUGAAGAGCUUGUGGGAAUAAAAUGGGAACUGAAAGGAUGGGUUCCAACCCCAAAGCCAGACUUGCCCCCUUGACAGCAAACCUGAGAGAGCUAAAGGUGCUGGGACAUGGAGGAAGGAGUUGCAGGAGAGGCUGGACUGAAGCCAAAAGAAGGACCUGGAAGUGAAGCAUGAGUGCAGGUGUGCCUGUCCUGUUUGGCCUCCUGAAUGUCAGGUCAGUGCCUAUCUGGGUGAGGAAUUUCAAGAACUUUGGGACCUCUGGGAUGGCAGUGGAGGUAGGACAGAGGAACAGAAGGAAGAUUGAGGAACAAUUUUAACUUGGUCCCCACCUCUCUGCUGAGCUCAGGUGAGACAUGUUGAUGUAAGAGCGCCUCAUCUAUCCACACCCCCAGCUCACCCUAGCCUUAGAAGUGAUCCGGGAAUAGAACACCUGGGUGGCUCAGUUGGUUAAGCGCCUGCUGUUGGCUCAGGUCAUGAUCUCACGGUUCAUGGGUUCGAGCCCUACAUCCGGGCUCUCUACUGUCUGCUGGGAGCCUGCUCUGGAUCCUCUGUCCCCUCUCUCUCUGCCCCUCCCCUCCUCAAUAAUUAAUUAAUUAGUUAAUUUUUAAAAAGUGAUCUGGAAAGAACAGAAA